ACAAUGCCCAUCUGGGACCUGACUCCACCAUGAGAUGCAGGCUUCUCUUCUGUAUUUUCCUACGUCUCCUGGAGACAGCUCUCGUGAACACUAAAACUAUCCAGACACCAAGAUAUCUGGUCAUGGGAAGGACAGAUAAGAAAUCUUUGAAAUGUGAACAACAUCUGGGAAAUAAUGCUAUGUAUUGGUAUAAACAGAAUGCGGAGAAGCCCCCAGAGCUCAUGUUUCUCUACAAUCUUAAAGAACUGAUUCGAAACGAGACUGUGCCCAGUCGUUUCUUUCCCGAAUGCCCAGAGACCUCCCAGCUACUCCUUCACCUGUCUGCCCUGGGGCCGGAAGACUCGGCUGUGUAUUUCUGUGCCAGCAGCAAAGACACAGCCCUGCAGAUUCGUCAGAUCUCUGUAUACAAACCUACAGGUUCAGGAAGCUGUGGGACCACUGAGGGCUCCACCGAACUCGGCUUCCGUAGGGCCCAAGACAGAAUGCUGCAAACCAUAACACCACCCUCCAACUCAACCCACGCAUCACCAUGGCCGUAUUUAGAGGUGGGGCUUCUUUCACCGUGCACGGCUCUCCUGCAAACUGAUGGAAAGAUAAGUACCUAUGGGUUUCAAUUUUUAAAGAAUUUUUUUAAUUGUGGGAGAAAAUAAACCUGCUAGAAAGCAAAUCGUUUCAACUAAUAAUUUACACAAUACGCCUAUCCAUCGUUAGACCCAGCACAGGUCUGGAAAGUGAGACAUUUUUCUGAGAGAGGCAUUUUAGGUCCUGACACUUCAAUUCCUCUUCUCAGCUGGAAGCUUGUACCCUGUCCAUACUCCUGCCUUACUCUUGCCAACAUCUGUCUGUUUCUUCAGUUUCAUCAUUUUAAGCCACUGUGCUUAGAGCCUCUGGCAUCCGGCUUUUCACUGACCAUCAGGAAAAAGAAGAGAUCCUAUGAUUCCUUUCAGCACUUACUCUGGUCUAGCUAUCUGAACCUGUAAACCAGAGGUGCCUGACAGUGGGUGAUUUAAGGCAGACUGCAUCCUUUAGAACAUUCAUGGGACCACCUUGGGGCGUCUCAUGCCCGUGAUGGCACACUGGUUUCUAUUCUCAAGAGUACACCCUGGAGCCUGCGUAGUAUGCCACAGGCUGUGACAUUGUGGACUUCCCUUCUGAUGUGUUGGCAAAGCCCAGGCAUGAGUCCUCUGGCCCUGCAUGGUCCCCUAUCAUGGGCUGUGCCCUCCUUUGCUGGGUAAACUUUGGUGUUGUGGGUGUGAGGCUAGAAAAUACUUGGGAAGUUCUCAUCUGCAUUUACAUGGAGCAAUUAUUAAAUUUCUCUUUAUCCCCCCCUUUUUUUGCUUUCUGUCUCCUCCACAGGGCACAUGGAAACUGGAGUCACACAAACCCCCUAAUCACGAUGUUACAGAAAUGGGACAGAAUGUCAUUUAGUCAUGUGACACAAUUUCUGGUCAUUUUGCCAUCUCUUGGUACCAACAGACGCCAGAAAAAGGAGUGGAGUUUGUGGUUUCAUUUUAUGACUCUUUCAAUGGUCAGUAAUCAGUAUAAAUGCCUGAUGGACUGUUCUACAUUCUGAAGAUUCAGCCUGUUUAUCCAGGAAGCUCUGCCGUAUAUCUAUGCUAGCAGCUUAACCACAGCCCUACAGAGAGGUUUUCUGUCUCCAAAAAAAAAAAAAAAAAAAAAAAAAAACCUUAAUGUUCUUCAUGUGGAGACAGAUGGUCAAGGUGCUUCCAACGACAGUAAGAAAGUAACCCCGAUUGCCUGCAAGGGGAUACAAAUGGGGAUGUGGGGAGUCAUACUUGGGAAAUGCUCACAGGUACCCUAGAAUGUGGCUAUGAAUACAGCAGUGGGGUAAAAGUAGCCAUAGUGGGGACCGUCAGAGAUCUCAUGGGAAUCUCUGCACCCAUUUGGGGGUCUCGGGUUGAGUUUCUUCUUAUUCAGCAGGGUAUGGUUUUCCAUCUGUGGGUGGAGGCAGGUCUUCUUCAGGGGGCAUGGAGGAUUCUCAUGAGGGCACCAAAAACAACCAGCUGAGAAUUUUCCAGAAGGGUGGCAGAUCUAAGCUCCAGAGUCUGAAGGUUAGCAAGAAAGUGUAGAAGAACACUUUUCUCUGUGUAGCCGGGUCUGACUUGGACUGGCUUCUCUCACUCCGUUGGGUCCUCACAGUCGCUGAUAAGAUAACCACUCAAUAUAUAUUUAUAGUAUUUGGCCAAUGGCUUAGGCUUAUUACUGGCUAGCUAUACCUAUAAAUUAGCCUGUUUUUAAUAUUUAAUAUCUUACUGUGAGGCUUGUGGCUUGUUACCUCACAUCUCGCUCCCCCAGCAGCCUCAGGGCAUCUCCUUUUAUCCUGCCUUCCUUCUCCUUGUAUCUUUGUAUGGCUUGCCCGCCUAGCUAAAUUUUGCCUGCCCACUGGCUGAAACAGCUUUAUUCAUCAACCAAUAAACGCGACACAUGUUCACAGCCUACAGAAGGACAUCCCACAUCAAGGAAAGACGGUUUGGAGCAGUAGGUGACAGUAGGAGCAGGAGCCUGCUCUUGCAUCAUGGGGGCGAUGUGAACCGUGGCUGCCAGUGCGUGUUGAGCUGCCUGCAAGUCGUGCAGGUUAGCUUCCAGGCUGCGUGAG